CAAGUUCUAGAUCGAUCUGAACUCUACCUCAAUUUUCAGUUCUGCCAUUUUCCCUUUCUGGAAGCAUCUCUCUGCACCGACAUAUCUACACCGACAUCAACUCUUGCAGACUAUAAAUUGAAAUCAGCAGAGGCGAAAUAUAUACUAAUUUCGUUCACUUGAUUACCACAUCAUUCAGCUUACUUGAUUUCAGUUUAAGUUAACUAUCAUCAUUCUGUUUAUUAGGCUAUUGAGCUUUUAUUGAAUUCAAAUCAGUAAACAUGUUUUCUUAUUUUUCUGUUUUCUUAAUCGAAUAAAUUCAAUUCAAUUGCUUCCUGGUUGAAUUCUAUACUGUAUGAUAAUCUUUAUUUUUCUUUUCCAACAGCUCCGAAACUCGGUUUUGGGAGAAAUGUCAGAAAAGAAGGUUGUACUCGAGCGAAAUGGAGCAGCUUUGAUAUUUAACAAAAUUUUCUUUCUGAUAUUGUUGUUUCAAUUUUUUUUUUACUGUCAUUCUCAUUUGAUUAGCUGUUGUUUUCAGUUUUGAAAUCAUAUUUGUUUUUAUGUUGUUGAGACUCUGUUUUUUCUUCGCGAGACCUUUGUUGGGUACUUGAAUCACUAUGGUUAAUUGGUUUUCUGGUCUGAAGUCAUGUUGCCAUAAAUAUGAAAUUUGUGUUGAAUUACAGAAUUUGGACAAGUGCGUACAAUACAUGUUGAUAAUGGCUUGGGUCCUGCAAUGGCAGACGUGUCACAGUGAUGACGUUGAUGGAGUCGGGUCAUUCUUAUUCAAAGCAUGCACAAUAGAUGGUUGGUAUAUUUGCAUGCAGCCUAUGAUUGGUUCAAAGUGAAUGGCACAAAGAUGAUCGAGGGCGUUCAGAUUUGAGGUUGAAUAAUAUGACAAAGGAAGGAAGAUGUAAGGAUCGCUCUUUAGGAAGACGCUGCACGCAUCUUUGAAGCCCAACACAUUAGCCAUCUGCCACCUCCAUUUUGAGUUGUAUUCACAAGUUUAACAGUCAAAGAAUUCCAACGCAAACCAGUCUUAAAUAUAACCAUGAGUACAUGCAUCUUCAUCAAUCCAAACAUUCCCGACAGAGCGGAGUACAAACAAAGUUUUUCUGAACUAUUUCUUGCUCCAACAAAACAAAUAAUAGGAGCUGAUGGACUGGAGGUUGUAGAAAAAAAGACAGUCAAAGAACUCAACCUACUAGAUCCAGAAACAGACAAGGAAUCCAUUCACGUGCAAUUGUCAUGACUGAAACAGAAAGAAGAAGACUUUAAGCAAUUCAAAAAUGAGGCGUACCUAUGCAUAUUGCAGAUUAAAGUUUGAGUCCCGCAAUUGAAAAACCAGAUAUAUGGCACCUGUCAGAGCGAUAAACAGAAUUAUACACCUCAGGAUGUUUGCCAAGAUUUUGCACCAUUGGCAAGGAAUGAUGGAAACAACAGCUUUCAAAUUAAGACAUUUGUAAAUCCCAUAGCAGGAGGUCAAGGUGCUCAAAUGAUUCUAUUGCAAUUCUGUGGCAUUAUACCCCCCAAUUUGGGACAAUGAUCGGAAGAAUCAAACUUUUUUUUUUUUUAAGGAAUCAGGUAUUUCAUUGUUCAAUUAAGCUAGAUGUUCUGCAAAUAUUGGAACAUUUCAUAGCCAAAAAAAAUGGGUCCCUUUUUUUUUUUAAUUUACAAUGAUGAACUUUCAGCUUUUAAAUUUGAUUAAUUUGAUUCUAAAAGUUGUGAUUUUUUGUUGAUCUUGGUUUUAUUUGCAGCACCUAUCUACCUAAUUGCAGCAAAAAUUGCUCAUGUAUGUAUCUGGUUAACAAACCAGAUUUUGAAAUCUAUAAAAAAAUACUCUGAUUAUUGAUAUAAUGUUUCAAACAUUUGUUUUUGUUGUAAUUAAACAUAUAACAAACCAGCAGCAUCACGCGAGGUUGAUCUCUAUCGUUGUUUACGCAAGCAAUUACUCUCCUAAACAACAGUAAUGUUAUGAAAUCAGGGAUACCAUAUAAUGUUAUGUAAUAAUUUAUUUCUUCCAUUGCAUAUUUCUAAUUCAUUGACAACAGAAACUCCCGCAGCAAAGCGCGGGCAUAGUUUCUAGUUUUAAAUAUACUAAACGUCAAUCCACUGUUCAUACUGUUCACAAUCACUGUUCAUAAGGGUGCGUAAUGACGGUUUUGCCCUUUAUGUUCCGGAAAUUACGGGUUGCCACUGCGAAUCUGGGUUAAGACUUAAAAGAGUGGUCGGUCGUCGUUUUCCUCUUUGUAUUUUGACGCUCUAGAAGGGACCGGGUUUGGUUUGGAGACUGUGGUGAUCGAAUAGAAAGAAACAAGGGGAUUUGGUUUCCACAACACUGAAUUUGUGGCUUUGCUGGGUUUGGCGAGAUUGAGGAUUGCAGGUCUGGAAGUUUUCUUCUGGUAUUGUUUUUGUUAGUUUUCGUGUCCUUUGGUGUGUAAUUGAUAUGGUUUUGUCCUCACUUUAUCUUUUUUUACGCCUCUACCACACCAGAAGGCAGAAGCUAUGUCGGUUUUAUUUUUUAUUUUUUUGGGUACAAGAAGCUAUGUCGGUUUUCUUUGGGCAAUAGAAGACGGGAUAGGUUUAGAAAAAAAGGGAGAAGAAGAGCGGCUGGUGUUGGGGUGAAGAAAAGGGAGAAGAAGAGCGAUUGGUUCGAAUAUUAUUCAGAGAUCGAAGGUUUGGAAGUUUUUCUUGCUUAAUUCUUUGGUUUGAUUAACCUCUGUGUUUUAUGCAGUAGAAGGGACUGUGGUAUUCUGAUUUCUGGUUUUGGUGAGUCUUCUGCUUUUGUUUUUUGUUAGCUGGGUUGUUAGUCUUCACCGAUUUCUGUUUUAACCCUUGAAUUGGAACUCUACAUGUUUUUGUGUUUGAGCGUUGGUGAUUUCUUAUUGAAAUAGAUACUGGAUUUGAGGAUUUUGGUAGGGUAGGCGAGUGUGAGCACAGAAUCCUGAACUUUAGAGAGUCCAUUUAGAAUUGCCCGUCCAUAAAUGAUAGGUUUGAGUUUUGUUUAAAAUUCAGCGCUCCUCUUCACGGAAUCGAUCAAGGUUCAAUUUUUGUAUCCUUAUGCUUACUGGUUAUGCAUCAAAAUGGUGCUAAUUGCUUUGUUUCCAGUACUGGGUUUCCUAAAUUGAUCUUAGAUUCAUCAUCACUUUCUUUAGAAUCCUUUACCUUAUCAAUGGCUGCUUUGCUUGCACCCUUUGAUUCAGAAGAUUCAGGAUUGACUGCUGCUGUUGCUGCUUUUGAGUUACAUGUAUCGGCGAUAGAUGGGGGCCUAUUCUUAGGAACUUCCUACAGACCAACAAUGAAAAUAGAACUCUGUGUUAGCAAUAGACUAUCUAAAUCAGUAUAUAGCAGAUUCUAUUCAUCUUGCAGUUGGCACUUGCUAGAAAAAACAGAGCAGUAAUUGCAAUAAAGGUGUAAUGAAGUAUCAAGAAGAGCAAGUGCUACUAUUUCUGCUUUGAAAUUAUUGAAGGUUGGUAAAGGGUAUGAAGAAGUAUGGCAUUACGUUUGGGUAUAAAUAGAAGGAUUGAGUGGGAACCCACUGCUGCAAGUUGAUAAGUUAGUUGCUGGGGGAGUUAAGCAUAGAGACAAAAGUUUACUGUGAGGGAAUGGAUGUGGAGCAAGAAAUUGCCCAACUUUCGGCCUGUGAUUUUAUCCAAAUUUCCUCUGGUUUUUCGGUUUGUGAGAACUGAAAACUAACUUCCAGAUAUAAGAGGAAACCUGCAGGUUAGGGUUUCAUGAGUUGGGAAAGCAAGAGGUGAAACUAGAAUUAGAGAGAGGCUGUUUGGUCGUUAACAUGAGCUCUUACCACAUUACGUUGGGUAUGGUCGCAAUCUGAACCGUUCAAAUUCGAACAAUCUCUGUUGUAUUCAGUACCGGCUGGAGCCGAGCCGGUAAUGGACGAAAAGACGAUUUUGCCCCUGCAUGCUGUUUCUGGCUUCGACACCUGGGGUGCUGCUCGGUGCAUGCUGUUUCUUGCUACGACACCUGGGGCGAUGCUCAGUGCUGUUGUGUCUACGAUACUUCACUCCACCGAGAGGUAAAGAGAGAGAGCAGAGGGAAUUGAUAUCCGUCUGUAAUCGAAGAAAUUGGUGCUUGGGGGUUUGAUUUGAUACGCGGCAAGGAUUAAUUUCUGUGGCAAAGGGAUUGAUUUCCAUCUCAAAUCAAUAUUCCGUCUCUAACCUGCAUUUGAUCACUCGGCACGAGGUUAUUGAGCUUCCUCGAAGAGACAAAGCUCCAGCUUUCUGGAGAUGGCGAUCUUCUUCAUUUGAAGAGAAUUAAGGUUGGGUACCUGCACCUGAGGAUUCUUGGCAACAAAUUUGUUAGAUCAUGCCGAGGGAUUUGUAUAAUCUCACGUCCAGUAGUCCAGAAGGUGCACAGGCUGCUUCAAGUCUUGCCGGGACAAUGCUGGGAUGAGGAUGUUGCCUUCUAACACAGCUUUUGCACAUGUUAGCCCAAGAGAGGUUCUCGAAGAUAUGGCUGCAACUUGCUUCAACAAGGAAACAAAUAAUAAUGAACUCAGAAACCCCUGAAGCUCAAGCGUUGGAGAAGCUUGAGAAAAGAGUGAACGAGGUUGAGCAGUAUUACUUGAGGAAAGGCAGUCUGCAACCAACCACUUCGAAGGAGAAAGACGGAGAUAAACAUUUUAAUACAAUUAAGAAGCAGCAACAAGAUGCAUCAUGUAGGGACGCUGCUGCUGCAAAGAGGAUGCGAGAUCUGUUGAAUGAUAGUGACAUUUUUGCCCCUACAUUCUCGCUGGCUUUUACCUGAGUACCCCGACGAGGACUGGAUGUGGCUCUUUUUCAUUGCUCCACGAAGAGAGAGAGCAAUCUUGAGAGAGUUCAUGAAUGAUCCAGAGACCUGGCGUUUGUUUCUUUGCUUCGCACGAAGAGAGAGAGUGGGAGAUAGAGGUGAUAUUCAAGAAAGAGACUGAUCGGAGAGGCACACAGAGAAAGAAAGAAGUGUGAGAGGGAUCUGGGUUUUUACUACAGCCCCAAAUUUCUAAUCGAGGUGCUCUUAAGAACGAAACGGUGAUAUUUGCUCUUUAUGGAGACAGUUGAACAAAGAAUGGGUACAUAUGUGGAUUUACAAUCUCGAUACAGAUGUGAGCAACUGAUCUUACACUGAGGAGUUGAAACAUUUGAGAAGAGAAAAUUUCCAAAGAUUAUUAUUCGUUUUGAAGCUGUUGGAUUUUAAAGCAAAAUGACUGCAGUAUCUAAACAAAUUGACUGAGAAUCAUUCGAAUAUUGUGGGUUGUCAACAAUAUCCAGCCUGUCGGGCAUACUGAUAUUGGUCAGUCUAAUUCCAUUUUAAGAAGCGCAACUACCUUCCUUUACCUUUCUCUUUCAAAAAAGGUCAUAGUAUUACUUUAUUUAUCUUCUGAUGUUGAUAAUUAGGAAAACUGCCAUCUGAGAUACACAAACUUUAGAAAGCAGCUGUAUUUCUUGGUAACAACACAUUCUGCAUUUUCUCACCAACAUAUUUACUACCCUCCAGUGUUUAUCAAUGGUCAGGAAAAUGCAGAGGAGGAGGAUAUGGAUAACAAUGAUGAUCUUGCUGGAGAUGCCAUUGAAAGUGAUGACAAGGAAGAACAGGUACCAGCAGAACGGCCUCCCAAAACAUCAAAAUUUAUAGCUUCAUCAUGUACUCAUCAAGUGUGCUUAAUAUCUGGAUGAAGAUUCAUAGUUGAAGGCUACAGACUUUGGCCUGUCAGAUUUUGUGAAACCAGAUGAAAAGUUUAUCAAAAUUGUUGGUAGUACAUACUGUGUAGCCCUCAAAGUGUUACAUAUGGCUUAUGGUACAGAGGCUGAUGUCUGGAGCGUAGGUGUGAUUGCACACAUUCUAUUGUGUGGCAGCUGUCCAUUUUGGCCUUGAACGAAGUUUGGCAUUUUUCGGGCAGUUCUAAAAGUUGAUCCAAGUUUCAAUGAACCUUGGCCACAUUCUCUACAGAGGCAAAAGUAAUUUUGUCAAGCGCCUAUUGAAUCAAGACCCACGGAAAAGAAUUACCACUGCACAAACGUGAAGUCAUCCCUGCCUUGAACAUCAUAACACUGUUAAACUUCCUCUGGACAUAAUAAUAUUCAAGCUCAUGAAGGUUUAUAUGCGCUUAUCACCUCUCCGCAAAACUGCUUUAAGGGGAGUUUUUUGCUCAGCUUUCCAGGUUGGUGUAUCAACAUGGUGUCUUAACAUGACAUGGCCGAUUUUUGUAUCUAUGUUCAAGCCUUUGGGGAUCGUAGUUGCAGUUGCCACUGGUUUUGGAGUGUAGCAUACUCUUUACUCUCUGGGUUCAGAAAAUCUAGAAAGAAAGCACGGGCUAUCUAGCUUAAUUUUGAGUUAAACUACCAAAAGAUAAUUGUUGUUUAUGUACUCUAAUCGACUGAAAACACGUAUCAAUAACAAAGAGACCCGCAGCAAAGCGCGGGCUAUCUAUCUAGUGCGAACCAAACUAGACCUAGAAUAAAUUGCUUUAUUGAAUUUUACCAAAUACAUUUUAUUACUUAAAUUAUUUAUUGUUUAGCUUUUUAAGUAACUUAACUAA